rnacentral:rRNA from 1 species
UCAUUUUGCAUCUCGGCAAUCUCUUUCUGAUUGUCCAGUUGCAUUUUAGUAAGCUCUUUUUGAUUCUCAAAUCCGGCGUCAACCAUACCAGCAGAGGAAGCAUCAGCACCAGCACGCUCCCAAGCAUUAAGCUCAGGAAAUGCAGCAGCAAGAUAAUCACGAGUAUCCUUUCCUUUAUCAGCGGCAGACUUGCCACC